GAUGAACGCUGGCGGCGUGCCUAAUACAUGCAAGUCGAGCGAACAGACGAGGAGCUUGCUCCUCUGACGUUAGCGGCGGGCGGGUGAGUAACACGUGGAUAACCUACCUAUAAGACUGGGAUAACUUCGGGAAACCGGAGCUAAUACCGGAUAAUAUAUUGAACCGCAUGGUUCAAUAGUGAAAGACGGUUUUGCUGUCACUUAUAGAUGGAUCCGCGCCGCAUUAGCUAGUUGGUAAGGUAACGGCUUACCAAGGCGACGAUGCGUAGCCGACCUGAGAGGGUGAUCGGCCACACUGGAACUGAGACACGGUCCAGACUCCUACGGGAGGCAGCAGUAGGGAAUCUUCCGCAAAGGGCGAAAGCCUGACGGAGCAACGCCGCGUGAGUGAUGAAGGUCUUCGGAUCGUAAAACUCUGUUAUUAGGGAAGAACAAAUGUGUAAGUAACUAUGCACGUCUUGACGGUACCUAAUCAGAAAGCCACGGCUAACUACGUG
rnacentral:rRNA from 1 species